rnacentral:rRNA from 1 species
AGAGUUUGAUCCUGGCUCAGGACGAACGCUGGCGGCGUGCUUAACACAUGCAAGUCGAACGAGAAUUCUUCAAAUAGAAGCUUCGGUGGAAACGAGAAGAAGGAAAGUGGCGAACGGGUGAGUAACGCGUGAGCAACCUACCUUAUACAAAGGGAUAGCCUCGGGAAACCGGGAUUAAUACCAUAUGAGACCCCACUAACGAGUGUUAGAGAGGUUAAAGAAUUUCGGUAUAAGAUGGGCUCGCGUCUGAUUAGCUAGUUGGUGGGGUAAAGGCCUACCAAGGCGACGAUCAGUAACCGGCUUGAGAGAGUGAACGGUCACAUUGGAACUGAGACACGGUCCAAACUCCUACGGGAGGCAGCAGUGGGGAAUAUUGCACAAUGGGGGAAACCCUGAUGCAGCGACGCC